rnacentral:rRNA from 1 species
GGACUACUAGGGUAUCUAAUCCUUUUCGCUACCCACGCUUUCGUGUUUCAGUGUCAGGAAUGGCCCAAUGUGCUGCCUUCGCUUUCGGUGUUCCCCAUGAUAUCAACGGAUUUCACCCCUACUCCAUGAGUUCCACACAUCCCUGCCAUCCUCCAGUCGCGCCGUUUCAACGGCGGUUCCGGGGUUAUGCCCCGGGCUUUGACCAUUGACUAACGCGACCACCUACACACCCUUUACGCCCAAUGAUUCCGGAUAACGCUCGGGGCACUCGUAUUACCGCGGCUGCUGGCAC